AGAGUUUGAUCCUGGCUCAGAUUGAACGCUGGCGGCAUGCCUUACACAUGCAAGUCGAACGGCAGCACGGGAGCAAUCCUGGUGGCGAGUGGCGAACGGGUGAGUAAUACAUCGGAACGUGCCCUGUAGUGGGGGAUAACUAGUCGAAAGACUAGCUAAUACCGCAUACGACCUGAGGGUGAAAGUGGGGGACCGCAAGGCCUCAUGCUAUAGGAGCGGCCGAUGUCUGAUUAGCUAGUUGGUGGGGUAAAGGCCUACCAAGGCGACGAUCAGUAGCUGGUCUGAGAGGACGAUCAGCCACACUGGGACUGAGACACGGCCCAGACUCCUACGGGAGGCAGCAGUGGGGAAUUUUGGACAAUGGGGGCAACCCUGAUCCAGCAAUGCCGCGUGUGUGAAGAAGGCCUUCGGGUUGUAAAGCACUUUUGUCCGGGAAGAAAUCGCACCUGAUAAUACCGGGUGUGGAUGACGGUACCGGAAGAAUAAGGACCGGCUAACUACGUGCCAGCAGCCGCGGUAAUACGUAGGGUCCAAGCGUUAAUCGGAAUUACUGGGCGUAAAGCGUGCGCAGGCGGUUGUGCAAGACCGAUGUGAAAUCCCCGGGCUUAACCUGGGAAUUGCAUUGGUGACUGCACGGCUAGAGUGUGUCAGAGGGGGGUAGAAUUCCACGUGUAGCAGUGAAAUGCGUAGAGAUGUGGAGGAAUACCGAUGGCGAAGGCAGCCCCCUGGGAUAACACUGACGCUCAUGCACGAAAGCGUGGGGAGCAAACAGGAUUAGAUACCCUGGUAGUCCACGCCCUAAACGAUGUCAACUAGUUGUUGGGGAUUCAUUUCCUUAGUAACGUAGCUAACGCGUGAAGUUGACCGCCUGGGGAGUACGGUCGCAAGAUUAAAACUCAAAGGAAUUGACGGGGACCCGCACAAGCGGUGGAUGAUGUGGAUUAAUUCGAUGCAACGCGAAAAACCUUACCUACCCUUGACAUGCCACUAACGAAGCAGAGAUGCAUUAGGUGCUCGAAAGAGAAAGUGGACACAGGUGCUGCAUGGCUGUCGUCAGCUCGUGUCGUGAGAUGUUGGGUUAAGUCCCGCAACGAGCGCAACCCUUGUCUCUAGUUGCUACGAAAGGGCACUCUAGAGAGACUGCCGGUGACAAACCGGAGGAAGGUGGGGAUGACGUCAAGUCCUCAUGGCCCUUAUGGGUAGGGCUUCACACGUCAUACAAUGGUGCAUACAGAGGGUUGCCAAGCCGCGAGGUGGAGCCAAUCCCAGAAAAUGCAUCGUAGUCCGGAUCGUAGUCUGCAACUCGACUACGUGAAGCUGGAAUCGCUAGUAAUCGCGAAUCAGAAUGUCGCGGUGAAUACGUUCCCGGGUCUUGUACACACCGCCCGUCACACCAUGGGAGUGGGUUGCUCCAGAAGUGGAUAGUCUAACCUUCGGGAGGACGUUCACCACGGAGUGAUUCAUGACUGGGGUGAAGUCGUAACAAGGUAACC
rnacentral:rRNA from 1 species